rnacentral:rRNA from 1 species
GACAGAGGGUGCAAACGUUGUUCGGAAUUACUGGGCGUAAAGCGCACGUAGGCGGAUAUUUAAGUCAGGGGUGAAAUCCCAGAGCUCAACUCUGGAACUGCCUUUGAUACUGGGUAUCUUGAGUAUGGAAGAGGUAAGUGGAAUUCCGAGUGUAGAGGUGAAAUUCGUAGAUAUUCGGAGGAACACCAGUGGCGAAGGCGGCUUACUGGUCCAUUACUGACGCUGAGGUGCGAAAGCGUGGGGAGCAAACAGG